rnacentral:rRNA from 1 species
UACGGAGGGGGCUAGCGUUGUUCGGAAUUACUGGGCGUAAAGCGCGCGUAGGCGGACCUGCAAGUCGGGGGUGAAAGCCCGAGGCUCAACCUCGGAACUGCCUUCGAUACUGCGGGUCUCGAGUCCGGGAGAGGUGAGUGGAAUUCCUAGUGUAGAGGUGAAAUUCGUAGAUAUUAGGAAGAACACCAGUGGCGAAAGCGGCUCUCUGGAACGGUACUGACGCUGAGACGCGAAAGCGUGGGGAGCGAACAGG